rnacentral:rRNA from 1 species
CCUACGUGAGGCAGCAGUGAGGAAUAUUGGUCAAUGGGCUUACGCCUGAACCAGCCAAGUCGCGUGAGGGAAGACUGCCCUAUGGGUUGUAAACCUCUUUUGUCAGGGAGCAACGCCGGCUACGUGUAGCGGGAUUGAGAGUACCUGAAGAAAAAGCAUCGGCUAACUCCGUGCCAGCAGCCGCGUUAAUACGGAGGAUGCGAGCGUUAUCCGGAUUUAUUGGGUUUAAAGGGGGCGUAGGCGGAAUGCCAAGUCAGCGGUAAAAUCGCGGGGCUCAACCUCGCUCCGCCGUUGAAACUGGCGUUCUUGAGUGGGCGAGAAGUAUGCGGAAGGCGUGGUGUAGCGGUGAAAUGCAUAGAUAUCACGCAGAACUCCGAUUGCGAAGGCAGCAUACCGGCGCCCAACUGACGCUGAAGCACGAAAGCGUGGGUAUCGAACAGGAUUAGAUACCCUUGUAGUC